AGAGGAGAGGGAAGAAGUUUAGGGCCGUCCUGCAGCUCGCUCUUCCUGUUUGCCAGAGCAAACUCCGUUUGUUUUCAGUUCUGGCGUAAUUUGUAGAAGCUUACAGCUAUACCAGGUUCCAAGAAAAAAAAUAUCGCUGGAAGAUGCUUCGCUUGCAGCGUGGCUUUUUCUCCCGUGGUAGGAAACUAUAGACUAAGAGAGAUGUCAGACUUGUUUCUCAGCUGGUGCUGAAGUGUGGGGUUUUAAAGUCACAAAGGCUUUGGGUAUCAGGUGUACAAAAGUCAGUUGUGUAUGUUCUUCAGGAUGCUUUUUGGUUUUUACUUUGAUAUUAAAUGGCAGGUAAAUAUUUCCACCGCGGCUAGUUCAUACUUAACUUGUAUAAGCUAAUGUGUAUUGUUUAGAAGGGGAAAUACUAUCAGUGGGAAAACUGAUGGUAAUGUACAUUUUUUUAAAUACUCUUUUUCCUACAGUUUGUGAUUCAGCUAGGGCCCUUCUGUGAUGGUCGCUUGUACAGAGUUUGUGUUUCAGAUCUUGUAUUUAGAUGAAACAGAAAAAGGGAAAUAGUUUUACACUUGAAGGUGCUGAGUUGUUUGUGCUCAAAGGAGUAGGUGUGAAAUAGUGAUUGUCAGAAGAAGAAAAAAAUCUUACCCGGAGCUCCUGCUAAAAGCCACCCUUUUAUAUCAUUGCAGCUGUGUCCGGAGUUGUGUGACUGGGAACUGAUCUAACUGUAAACUGGCCACCAAAAUCUUUUCCUGUUUCCAUUUUUCUUCAUGUAAAUAUAAUAGUAACCAUGCUGGGUGUCACACUAAAGAAUCAUCUUUUGUAUGUCUGUAAAAGCCACGAGGCAGGUGCUUUAAAAAAGGGAAUGUACAUGUUGCUGCUAGGGAAUGUUCUCUCAUCUUCUCUUCCAGUUCAAAGGACUUGCUGAGGUUUUCCUGAUGUAUUCUGUAACUAUAAUUGAUAAGUGUUGCAUAUAGUAUUUUGGAUUUUUGUUGAACCCUUGUAAGCUCUGUGGCUCUGUUACAUUCUGGUGGUUUUUUCAGGUCUGCUACCUGGUGUGAAAUUCACCUUAUUUUUGAAUCUUGUUAGUGUCAACCUAAUUUGCCAGGUAGUGUUUACAUUAGAACAGUUCCUCUUGUGUUUGUGAUACUUAGUCUGAGCUUUUUCCUUCUCACAUUGAAAAAGCAUGGCAUGCUUGUUUCCAGUGAAAAAGUUAAAUGCUAUUAUCAUGCAUGCUGUUUUGUGAGCCUUUUCUAAUUCUAGUAGCUACUUCUCAUUUCAAUAAGAGAGCACACAUUAUUGAAAAGGAGAAUGAAUUGUAGAUUUAAAUACCAGCAUGACUUUCCCUCUUCUCUCUUCCCUGAUAGUUCAUCUUGUUCAAUUCAUGAUGUGUCUACACAAAUACUUGUGCUAGUUUAGGAAAGGGGACAAGUGAGAAGAGUGUAUGCUAUGUGCUAUGGGAGAAGGGUAAAAAUGUUGCAUUUCAAGUAGUGAUAGGUUAAAACCUUUUGGUCUGUAGCAUGAAAUACUGAUUAUUGCAUGUUGGAAGAGGGUGGGUUUUCUUUUCCCAGUUUGUGCAAGUAGAGAUUGUUUUGAAUGUAAGGAAAUUGGGGCCUGAAGUUGCAGGAACAAGCAGGGUAUUUAGUGCUAAGCUUACUUUUUUACAGUGAUGUUUAUUGAGGCCAUUUUCAGUAAAAGCUCCUACUAGAAGUUUCAUUUUUCACUUCUGUGGAGAGGAUAGAAGUGAAAGGUACAUAGCUUUUUAUUGUUCUUGCUUUUGACCCCUUUCAGGUAGAUGGAAGUAUCAGUAAGUUUUGAAUGUAAUACACAUAGGAUUUGACAUUGGUUGAAAUUUUCUAAACCUUUCACAUUCUCCUUAGAGCAGAUUGUAGAGCCACAUUGUGUAAAUAUCAUUCAUUUUCACAGGCUGGAGGCUGACCUGUUGUGAAUUACUUCAUUUUUAAGAAAUGCAGUCAAAUAAAUGGAAGCCCUUAAUUAGCCCUAGCAGUUUUGCAGUAUAGAAGACUAACUCUGAAGAUGCAUUGCUUCACUCUUGCUGGUAAAAUAGUGAAAGGAGGUGGAAAGAAGAGGCCAGGUCUUGAAUAGAGAGAUUUCCAUUUUUGUGCUGUUACUUUACUCUUCAGAUUGAGGAGGCAAAUGUUCUUUACUCUUGGGAUUUUCUGUGUCUGACUGUAUCAGAGUUCAUUGUCUGACCUCCCUUGUUUUUUUGUUUUCUGUUAUGUGCAGGAUAGUGCUGAAGGUUCAGUGUCUGUCACAAAGCAGAGAACAGGAUCCAUUGGAGAUCGCCCAGCAAGACCUACUCUUUUAGAACAAGUAUUGAAUAAGAAGAGGCUGUCCCUACUCAGAAGCCCAGAAGUAGUGCAGUUUCUACAGAAACAACAGCAACUGUUAAGUCAACAAGCUUUGGAACAAAGGCAGCAACAGUUUCAAGGAGCACCUGGGUAAUGAGGAAAGAUCAAUGAUCUGCAGAUGAGUCUGGUGCUGAAGGAGGGACAGGAUCUGUAUUUUGUAUAAAUACAAAGAAUCUCAGUGUUUAAACAAAAAUGGAAGUUGCUGUUGUUAUGUAUUUGUUUCCUGUUUGCACUUUUUUGAGGUUUUGAGCUGCUUGGAUAUCUGCAGACUUGUGAGCAAACCAUAGAAUGGUCUGGAUUGUGUUACAGAAACUUCUCAGUCUGACCAUUCACAGGACUCUCUGACAGUCACUCUCCCAGUGCCAGAGACUUCAACUUCUGGGGCCAAAGCUCCUUCACUGCAGGCAGCUCCAGUGAUCUGACUGGUGCCUCCCCUGACUCCCUGCACACCUGGCUUGCAGUCAGACCAGGUUUCCUUACUGGUUUGACCCCAGGGCUUGAGAACCUUGUUCCAUAAAGCAAUUUAUUAACAGUGUAAUAACACAGAAACAGCCUGGGCUGGUGCCUCCAAGGAGGAAUCCCAGACAAAGGAACUCCUGGGCUUUUAUACCAUCACGGUGUAAGGCUCUUCCUCCUGAAUCUUCCCUUCUGAGUCUUCCAUUCCUGCCACAUCCCUGUGUCCAUCCACCUGGCUGGCCGCUCACCUUCAUGCCUUUUGUUAUACAAAGUGUUGGCAGUUCACUGCCUCCUGUCAUUGCUCCCACCCAGAGCUCAAUUUGCAUCUCAAUCUGCAUCUAUAACUGCAGCUUAUAAAUCAACUACCUGCACCAGAUGUGUUCCUCAACAGUUGGAAGGGACCUUGAAAGGUCAUCAAGUUCCAACUCCCCUGCUGUGGACGGGGAUACCUUUCAUAAGACCAGGUUACUUAGAGCUCUGUCCAGCCUGGCCUUGAACACUUCCCAGGGAGGGGGUAUACAUACCUAGAUUCUCUGAGCAGCCUGUUCCAGUGCCUGACGACCCUCACAGUAAAGAAUUUCUUCCUAAUAUCUAAUCUAAAUCUACUCUUAGUGUGAACCCUUAUUCCCUUACUCUGUCCCUACAUGUCCUUCUAAAAAGUCCCUCUCCCAUCUUUCCUGUAGGCUCACUUCAAGUAUGAAGCCACUGCUUUUCUAGGCUGGACAAUCCCAAUUCGCUCAGCCUUUCCUCAAAGGAGAGGUCUUCCGUCCCUCUAAUCAGCUUGUGACCCAUCUCUGGAUUUGCUGUAACAGGUGGAUGUCCUUCUUAUGUUGUGGGUUCCAGAACUGGAUGCAGUCCACCAGAUGGCAUUUUUUCCAGACCAGAGGGGCUGUGAUUUGUUGACUUUGGCUGGACAUACAGAUUUAUAAAUUUUCAUUAGUGCCAUCCCCUGUCCUUUCACACAUAGGUGUUAUUUUCCUAUCUCAAGAGCAUCCUCCACCCCUUCAGAUGUCCAACAACUUACAACACAGAUUGCUUUCCCCCCAGGGUCAAAUCUCCAUGGAGCACAUACCUGUUUCCUCAUCCUUCUACAUUACUCACCAAGUACACCCAGGUAUUUGAGCAAAGACAAUCACAUAAAUGGGUUUGCCUUUUCCUGUAGGGAGAGAAAUCCACCCCGGUGUUCCUAGUCACUUCCCAUGUAUAGUAUGGGAACCUUAUCUCCUCCCCCAGGGUGUAGGGGCUUUGUUUGGACAGUACCAGGGAGGUUUGCAGAACUGGUGUUAACCAGCCAAAUGGCUUCUGUUAAAUUUACAUCCCAAUCCUUCCAUGCCCCGUUACCUAACACUUAACACAGUCUUCAGCAGGCUGUGUGAUUGUGUUAUACCACACAACCCCUUAUCUUAUGGGUGAUAAGGGAUGUGAUGUCCACUCAAUGCCAUGGUUUUUUGCCCAAGAGUUUAUUAGGCUGUUUUGAAAAGCAGUCCCAUUGUCUGAUUCAAUUCUUGCUUGGUACCAUAUUGCCACAAAAUGUGUCUCUCAAGAUCUGAGAUGGUGUCUUGAGCAGUGGCAGUGGUUUGCAGGGCAUGUUGCCAGCCUUCCAGUUGUUACUAUGGUGAGUAUGUACCAUAUGUUUGGUGUAUUUAUGGCAAUGGUCCAGUUUGCCAGGCCUCACCAUACGGGAAACCCAGCUGCUGCUCUCUAUUCCAGGGAAAGUUUACUUCAGUGGCUUGGUUGAUUGCAGCACAUGCUUCUCAUUCAUGAAUGAUCUGUACAAUGGCCUCCAUGGUCAGGUCAGUCCCUCAGUGAUGAGCACAUUGUUUGUUGCAGCUGAUGUUCCAUGGCCCCAUCAGGUUACAAAUGGCUCACCCUUCCACUCCCACUCCAAGUGUACCUAAGUUAAUUCAGUUUUGGCAGCCUUAUCUACCUGUUCUUCAGUGGAGUGGGUUUUGGGCAUGUGAACAUCUCCCUGAUACACAUUUCCAGUCAAGUUUUCGACCUGUGCACUGAUGUCCUGCCCCAGUGCAGGUGCAGUCCAGCCCAGAUGGGUUUAUCUUUGCAUUGCCAAUUGGUCCUCUUCCAUUUUUGCAGCCCCCUCCAUAGGUCAUUAGCCACCAUCCAGGAGUCAGGAUAGAGAUAGAGGCAAGUCACUUUUCUCAUUUCAGCAAUCUCUCUGGCUAGUUCAGAUGGCUUUCACCUCUGCAAACUGGCUUGACUUGCCUUCUCCUUCAGCAGCCUCAAUGACUUGUUCACCUCUGAUGGUUUCCUGCCACACAACAGGAUUCAUCACUAAAUAGGGCAUAGCCUCUUUCACCUUCUGGUAACUGGUUGUGUGUGGGUGCUUCUUGUGCACAAGUCUUAUCUGCAAUGCUCUAAAAUCUUUGCCUUUUGGCCAGUCCAUGAUUUUUUCCAGAAUUCCCAGUUGAGCUCGUGUAAUCAAUGCUACCCUCUUACUCCAUGUAGCACUGGCUGCGUGAACUGUUAUGGGGAUGUUUCCUUUGACAUCUGGAGAAGUCUUUUCCAAUUAUUCUUAAACCUUAACUUUAUUUUUUAAUAUUUAAUUUGUUAAUAAAAACUUGUUUAUGGUAGCAGUGUUUAGCUGUACACCCUUUUCUACCAAAAUUAUAAUAAAUUAACAUUUUUCUAUAUAAACAUUUACAGUUAAGUCAGUCUUUGAUGACAAUCAUUGAUGGAAGUCAGUUACUUUCUGUGGGCACUGUGAAACAAAGUUCUGAAGCUGAGUCAGUCCAGUGGCAUUAGCUAACAGCAAUUGCUCAGGGAUAUGAGAGAUUUAUGUCCUGUAGAAUCUUUCACUAAAGGCAAAGACAAUAUGCCAUCAAGAAGUCAAUCCAGCAGUUCAGAAAAGUACAUGUAGGUGAUCUCUAUUACCUGCAAAUUAAGUAGGUUUGAAAUGCUACAUUGUGCAUAGCAUGUAAAAGAAUUUGCACUUAAAAGUUCCUAAAGUGAUAAAUGGCAAAAAACUUAAAAAAGUAUCAGGUGAAAAGUAUGAAACUGAGAGUUGGACCUUGUUACAUGGAGUUAUUUGAAAUUACUAACUUCUUAUAUGUGAAAUAUAACUUAAUUACAGUUUAGAAUACCACUAAUUUUUAAGUGACUAAAUUAAAUUAUAAAGUUUUUAACUCAUAAUAGUAAAUAAUUCAAAAUCUAGUCUCUUUCUUCUCAAAAAGGUAUAGUUAAAAGUCUUUUAUUAAGACAACAGAUCUCUAAUCAGCUGCAGUGCUUGACUUCACAGGUUUUCAACCAAUUAAAAUGAAUUUGCAACUAAUUGAGUUAAGAAUCCAAACACUAUAUUAUGUAAAUGUUAAAUCCCGUGUUUUAUUUAUAAAAAUUGUUUUGUAUUAAGCCACAUUUCUGAAUAGAGGUUAUCCAAAUGGGUUAGGUGCUUAUUAUCAAGUACUACUUUUAUAUUGCAGCAGUUUGAUCCACUAAAUAAUAUCUGUUCAGCAGUAUUUGUUAGUCCUGUGGAUUUUUACAUGUUCUGCUUUUUGUAUUUAUACAACUUGUUCUGUGGGGAUUUAUUGUGUUUAGCAUUGUGCAAAUUGUUCUUUAAAAAAGAACUUGAAAAACUUUGUAUAAACAGUUCUGGACCAAUAAGUGAGUAAAAUCUUUGGUUUUUCUUAAAAAAAAAAAUUCUGUUCUUUUUUCUUUUGUUAAAUUUGUAUAGGUUUUUCUUCCUGUGCUAAAACAGCCAGCUCUGACUAGAUGGAAAUUUUGUGUUUCAAGGUCUUGUUAUAGAAAAUUAUUUUAAAUUAAGCAAAAAUAGGUUACUUUUCAGUGAAUAAGAAUAUAUGUGAAAACAUAAUUGGCAAAAAUUGUAGAAUAAUGUACUUGAUUUUGUUUUAAAUGGUUAACGUUUUAAAGGUGAGCAGAUCAUUUAGGUGGACAGAUCUGAUUAAACUUUUUUAAAACCAAAUCCCUCAGGGCAGAAAAUUGGCACAGGGAGUGUUUGUUAAGACAGUGCCAAACAAGUUGUCUAUGUCAAAACAAAUGUCAGGUGCUGAAGCUGUGUAUGGAGAAGUACAGUAGAGUGCAUCUCACCUAUCCUGUAUUUUUGGUAGUUUGUGAUAGCAGCACCAUCAGGCCGGUGCAGACACUGGGAGAUGUGCUGGUAGCAGUGCUCUCCUGUUUGGGCGGAAGAUUGGAUGGGAUUCCCAAGCCAGCACUGUCUGUGUCGCUCUGAGGCCCAUUAUGUUGUCUACUCCCUUCUGUUAUCGCAGAACAAAAUCUGAAUUUUAGGAAGAUGGAAACACAACACUUACCUAAGAGUACAUUCUUAUUAUAUCUCUCAUUGUCCUUGAGCAGUUGAAGAACUGUGCAGCUGCAAGUCUGUCUUCCCACUUAUGUCAAUCUGGUCCAGAGGGAAGGUGUCACAGGGCAGCAUCAUUGUUCACUGAUUGCCUGUCAGAUCAGAGCUGUCCCCGUCCAAAGACAACUGAACCAUCCUCUUGAAUCAUCAAAUCUAUCACAGGACAGUAAGGGAUUCAUAUACAUGGAGAUUUUAUGCUGAAUUAAUUUUCAAUACCUUUUCUUGUGUCAAGCAUCCCAUUACUCAUUUAGUGCAAUGAGAUGCACUAAGUGAGUAAUGGGAUGCUUCCUUUUGCCUAAGACUGAUUUGUAUGAUAAAGGCUUUCUGAAUGCUCCAGUUCCUAAAGUCACUUGUGGUCAUACUGGGACCUACAGCCAAUCUCUUUAAAAGAGAAGAAUGGGAGACAACAAGAGAAGGGACUCUUAAAACAGAAAUCUCUUUAUUAACAGUAAAACACAAGACGUGAAUAAUCCCUUUUACAAUAGAAUAAUUCUGGCCAAAGAAAGUGGAGUGCGUUAAAAAGUGUAUUGUUCAGGCUAAAUGUGUUGUCUUCAGAAUGCCUCAAAUCAAAUGCAGCAGGAGGAAUGCUUGAGAAAGUGUCCCCUUUGUUAGCAGUCAUUCCAUUUUUCUUGGUAUGACAUGGAAUGGAAUGGAAUAGAGUACUCUGGGGCUGGUUGGAGGACUCCAAGCUGCCCGGGUCUCUCGCACUCCUGAAUUUUUCAUUCUCCAGAGGCAAGAGCCCAAGUAUUGUUCUUUAUAUAGCGACCUACGCUGGCUGACAGAAGGUCACAAACCGUGAGUAAUACUUGUGGAUAGUGCAGAUGUUUUGCUUUGCUUCUGAUGGAAAACAGAGGGCAGAAUUAUUCAUAGACAUGCGUGACUCUUGUUAAUCUGUGGAUGACUACAGUGCUUUUCUCACCAGACUGAUAGGUCAUAGUUAACACAACCCCAUAGUUAACACUCCUUGCUCAAAUCCACCAAUUCAUAGAGCUUUGCAACUUCAUGGCUUCGUUGAUCCACACAAAAAGGCCUGUUUCUUCACUUUCUUGUCUCACUUCUCAACCCCAUUAAUAUCACAGAGGUGAUAUGAAAUGAAGGUUUAAAUUGCUAUCACUGACUUAUCUGCAGAAAGCAGGCUGUGGUACAUUUAACUUAUACUUUAACAGUAUUAUAAAUAAUUAAAAACUCCAAUUGCUUGAGUAAGUGAAAAAAUUUAUCUGAAUGCACAUUGUGUCUGCUCAUCAUUAUGUUUGUUCCCUUGCCCUUGUUUGCAAAGCUUCUUAUGGACAUAACUGUGAAUUAAUAAGACAACACACACUUUAGCAUCAAAUAAACCACUUUGAAUAUGAUGUGCUCGCUCACUACUGUGAAAGUGCAAGGGGUCAGAUUUUACCAAGAUUUCUCUAGCUUUUCUUUGCUGAUGAAGUCUGUAUUUAAAAUUAUUAACUGCUUGGUCUAUUUCACCCUAUGCUAUUCAUAUGCAAUAUUAUUUGAAUACUAACACAGAAUAUAAAAUAGCAGCAUCCAUGGAUAAUAAAAACACUAUGACUGAA